rnacentral:tRNA from 1 species
CAAAAAAUAGUUUAAAUAAAAUAAUAACAUUGGAAGUUAUUGAUCAAUAACUGUCAUAUUGUUUUUUGA